CAUUUAGACCCCAUCAUUUUGUAUGUAUAGUUGGGAUUAUAUUUUCCAGUGUGCGUUACUUUGCAUUUAUCACCAUUGAAUUCCAGCUGCCACUUUGUUGCCCAGUCACCCAGUUUUGCGAGAUCCUUUUGUAGCUCUUCGCAGUCUGCUGGGACUUAACUAUCAUGAGUAGUUUUGUAUCGUCUGCACAUUUUGCUUGGUUUUGGGAGCUUCCAAUAUGGGAAGAUUGGGAGGGGUGGAGGAGAAUCAUGCAGGAUCCUGGCAGUGAGGGUGCUGGGGGCAGGUGGUCUGAGCACCUGUCAGUGCAGCAGCCACCCGGCACUGCCCGGAUCCAGCUUCCAGCCUCUGACCUGCAUAGGGGUGGGGGGAAGGAGGCACGGCUGGCACUAAACUGAGGAGCAGGGACCCGGGUUAUUGAGACAACUUUCCUCUAGCCCACCUGAGCCCCUCCAGUAGGAAGAGGCUGGCACUGCCCCUGCUGGCCACCUGGUGUCACUGCUCUUUUAUGGGAAACACACUCUAUGCAUUACAUUAAUUGGCCCACAGGCAGGGCAAUGCUUGGGGGGCCCAGGGGCACAGCAAUGGGGGGUGGGGGUCUUGUCCCCAUCAGUUCUAAAAGGGAGGCUCUGCUGUUUCCAUGGAUACCUCUCAUGUCACCAUGGCUCUGCUGCAGGCCGAGGUAAAAAAUGGGUUGGGGUUGCUGGUUAAAGACGUCCGCUUUCCCCCCUCCCCUCCCCGUGCUUCCAGUCUGCAGGAGGGAAGGGCUGGCCUGAGAGCCGUGUUAACAUCAUCCUGUCAAAACUGUGGUGUUAGUAGGAUGCCCCUGCCCUGUGCACACAGCGAGCUGGAAGCAGCAUUCUCAGGACUGAGGGCUAGUCGGGCGCUGGAGGAGACAACACAUUCAGCCAUCUCGGAGAGACCUCGGGGGAGGACAUGGAAUAUGAAACUGGCUCUAAAGGAGCCUGGAGACCCGGAGCUUAAAGGAUCACAAAGUUCCUAAUGCCAUUGGUAGCUGAGAGAAUGGCCAGCCUGUGGCAGAGACCAAAAGAAGGAACAGCCACCCUGAGCCCAUCCCUGGGGACGGAAACCAGACAGUGAGCUGCAGAAAUUUGCUUAUGUUAAGUAUUGCGAGAGGGCUGCAAAGACUCUUGUCUGUGGAGAGAAUUGGUUAUGUUAGCCUGGGGGGUCCCUGAGGAAAGGCCUCUGCAUCUAACUGGGGCUGGCAAGCUUGGGGGGCCCUUUGUGCCCUC
rnacentral:lncRNA from 1 species